UUGUUGCUGGUGUUAUUGCUGUUCUGCUGCUGCUGACUGUUGUAGCUGCUGCUGCUGGUGUGAUUUACUAUCGCCGCAGGAGCUCCAGAAAUAAUCUGAUGUCAUUGACCAGAAGAACAGCAGCAGCUGCAGCAGCCACGCCCAUCAGAGCAGUGACAACCAAUCGCAUCACAGCUUCAACUGUAUCACAACAACUGACGUGAACCUCUGAAAAAAAACAAAAACAAAUGAAACCAAUG